rnacentral:rRNA from 1 species
CUUUCCCUCUUUCUUCAUGCUUUACACAUGCAAGUCGGACGGCAGCACAGAGAAGCUUGCUUCUUGGGUGGCGAGUGGCGAACGGGUGAGUAAUAUAUCGGAACGUACCGAGUAAUGGGGGAUAACUAAUCGAAAGAUUAGCUACUACCGCAUAUUCUCUGAGGAGGAAAGCAGGGGACCUUCGGGCCUUGCGUUAUUCGAGCGGCCGAUAUCUGAUUAGCUAGUUGGUGGGGUAAAGGCCUACCAAGGCGACGAUCAGUAGCGGGUCUGAGAGGAUGAUCCGCCACACUGGGACUGAGACACGGCCCAGACUCCUACGGGAGGCAGCAGUGGGGAAUUUUGGACAAUGGGCGCAAGCCUGAUCCAGCCAUGCCGCGUGUCUGAAGAAGGCCUUCGGGUUGUAAAGGACUUUUGUCAGGGAAGAAAAGGCUGUUGCUAAUAUCAAUAGCUGAUGACGGUACCUGAAGAAUAAGCACCGGCUAACUACGUG